rnacentral:rRNA from 1 species
AUUGAACGCUUUCUUCCGGCCUAACACAUGCAAGUCGAGCGGAUGAAGGGAGCUUGCUCCUGGAUUCAGCGGCGGACGGGUGAGUAAUGCCUAGGAAUCUGCCUGGUAGUGGGGGAUAACGUCCGGAAACGGGCGCUAAUACCGCAUACGUCCUGAGGGAGAAAGUGGGGGAUCUUCGGACCUCACGCUAUCAGAUGAGCCUAGGUCGGAUUAGCUAGUUGGUGGGGUAAAGGCCUACCAAGGCGACGAUCCGUAACUGGUCUGAGAGGAUGAUCAGUCACACUGGAACUGAGACACGGUCCAGACUCCUACGGGAGGCAGCAGUGGGGAAUAUUGGACAAUGGGCGAAAGCCUGAUCCAGCCAUGCCGCGUGUGUGAAGAAGGUCUUCGGAUUGUAAAGCACUUUAAGUUGGGAGGAAGGGCAGUAAGUUAAUACCUUGCUGUUUUGACGUUACCAACAGAAUAAGCACCGGCUAACUUCGUG